rnacentral:rRNA from 1 species
GCGGAAGCCUGGACCCAGCGACGCCGCGUGGGGGAUGACGGCCUUCGGGUUGUAAACCUCUUUCAGCAGGGACGAAGUUGACGUGUACCUGCAGAAGAAGCGCCGGCUAACUACGUGCCAGCAGCCGCGGUAAUACGUAGGGCGCAAGCGUUGUUCCGGAAUUAUGGGGCGUAAAGAAGCUCGGUAGGC